UGCGACUGAAUAGUGUAGUAGACUCGAUGGACCGAAUGGCCUAAGUCUGCCCCAACGUUUUAUAUGAAUGUGCAGGGAAUGGAGGGAUUUGGAUCAUGUAGAGACAGAAGGGAUUAAUUUAAUUUGGCUUCAUGCUUGGAGGUAGAGGAAGUUGAAGACACACACUCAACGAUUCAGGAACAGCUUCAUCCCCUCUGCCAUCAAUUUCUGAAUGGAUAUUGAACCCAUGAACACCACCUCACUACUUUCUUUCCUCUUUUUGCACUGCUUAUUUAAUUUAACUUUUAAAAUAUAUAUGCAUAUAUAUACUUCUUUCUGUAAUUUACAAUUUUUAUUCAUAUGAUAUUAUGGAGGAUGCUAAUUAUUAUGCAUUACAAUGUACUGCUGCUGUGUAACAACAAAUUUCACAACAUAUGCCAGUGAUAUUAACCCUGAUUGUGAUUCUGAUCAGUACAAACAUUAUGGGCCGAAGGGCCUAUCUAUGUUCUAAGUACCGAACAUCCAAAGAAUAGACAGCUUCUCCCUGCUACAUCUACCUAUGCCCCUCCUGUUAGCACAGGUGAAGUGUGGCCUGAAAGCCAGAUAUCCUGUUGCUUUCACAUCAGUUCCUGGGAGAUCACAUCACGGAUGAUCUGUACCCUUAAUAUCACCUCCCUGAACAAGAAAGCACAGUAACAUCUCCACUUCCUAAGGAGAUUGAGGAAAGUGAGCCUCACACCCCAAUCCCCAUCUCAGCCGCAUUUUAUAGGAGCGCCACUGAGAGCAUCCUGACAAGCUGCAUCUCCACCUGGUAUGGGAGCAGCCGAGCAUCAGGACUGCAAAAAUGUCUGAGAGCAUCCUACGAUUCUCCUUACCAUCCAUUGGGGACAUUUAUCAGGUGUGCUGCCUUUAGUAUUAUCAAGGAUCCCGCCCAUCCAUCCAGCAUCCCCUUUGACUUCCUACCAUCAGACGGGAGACUCCAAAGCAUAAAGACAAGAACAGUCAGGAUCUUCCCUCAGGCCAUUAGGCUUCUGAACUCCCUACUGCAUUGCAUUUGAAGUGUCACUAGUUAAUCUGUUCUACACCUUACAAUAUUUAAUUUAUGCACUUUAAUCUGUUUAUGUGUAGCGUUCAUCCUUACUUUCAUAAGUUCUAUGAGUGUUAUGUGUUACGUAUGCUGCAGUGCUUUACACCUGGUUCAGAGUAACAUUGUCUCAUCUGAUGGUUUCUAUAUAUGUAGUUAAAUGACAAUAAACCUGACUUAAUUUGACAUAUGUUCAUGAUUUUUUGAGGUGGGGGGGGGGGGGUGUUGUCCACUAAUUUGUUUCAUGAUACAUGCUAAUCUUUGAAAGCAGCAGUUAAAAAUUGUUGUGUACCAAAAUAUCAUGGCUAUAAAUAGCCUGAAUCCUGCAUUCACACAACGGCACAGGCUGAAGGUAACUGACGCUACAUUUCGAAAGGGAAGAAACAUGCUGUAGGUGGCUGGGAUUCCGUCGAAGUCUGUGACCUGCAACUGCGGUUUUCCAUAGCGGAUGAGUUCCUGCUCCUGGAGCUCACUGGCUGGCCGUUUUCCGACAUUCUCCAGGAGCGGCUGGAAGACACACGCCUCAGGGGUGCGGCCCUGUGGUUGACUGGUCUCCGGCCAGUGCCGCUGACUAAGGAAGGAGCGUGAUGGAGAAGGAACAGGAGAACUUCACAGUGGCGGAUGCUGCGGACAGAAGUCUUUGUACUUGAGCGAUUGCUCUCUCUUUCUUUUUCGCUGGAUGGUGGGAGAGUUUGCUGCUGAGUCUUGAAUCGCAGAAUCUAGGAAUAAAAAGUGAUGUGCUAGGUUGUAACACUGUAACAGCAACUGUUUAUUGGUAUCCCCUUUCAUUGUGAAAUGGAUGACACCCCUCUGUUCUUUGUUAGUGAGAGACAGAGCCUGUGGCAUGUCAAACCGUCAAGUAAACAAUAGUUUUUGUUGACAGUGGAUCGUCAUCUCUCUUUGAGAGCUUUGUUGUUGCUUGAUGGUGGGUGCCGAUGCUUUCUGUUGAAAUGAGUUGGGGGUGACGUUUCUUGUGCAGGAGGGGCUUUGGGAGAGAGGGGGCUUUGGGUUUCUAAUGUUUUUCUGUUGCUCAUUCUUUUGGGGUUUUCUUCUGUUUUUCACAGAUGUCUGUGAAGAGUAAGAAUUUCAAGUUGUAUACUGUAUACAUUUUCUGAUGUUAAAUUGGAACCAUUUGAAUUCA